UGAGUUUGAAUCUGGCUCAGAGCGAACGCUGGCGGCAUGCUUAACACAUCCMAGUCGCACGGAUCUUUCGGGAUUAGUGGCGGACGGGUGAGUAACGCGUAGGGAUCUAUCCAUGGGUGGGGGACAACUCCGGGAAACUGGAGCUAAUACCGCAUGAUACCUGAGGGUCAAAGGCGCAAGUCGCCUGUGGAGGAACCUGCGUUCGAUUAGCUAGUUGGUGGGGUAAAGGCCUACCAAGGCGAUGAUCGAUAGCUGGUUUGAGAGGAUGAUCAGCCACACUGGGACUGAGACACGGCCCAGACUCCUACGGGAGGCAGCAGUGGGGAAUAUUGGACAAUGGGCGCAAGCCUGAUCCAGCAAUGCCGCGUGUGUGAAGAAGGUCUUCGGAUUGUAAAGCACUUUCGACGGGGACGAUGAUGACGGUACCCGUAGAAGAAGCCCCGGCUAACUUCGUGCCAGCAGCCGCGGUAAUACGAAGGGGGCUAGCGUUGCUCGGAAUGACUGGGCGUAAAGGGCGCGUAGGCGGUUGAUGCAGUCAGAUGUGAAAUCCCCGGGCUUAACCUGGGAACUGCAUUUGAGACGCAUUGACUAGAGUUCGAGAGAGGGUUGUGGAAUUCCCAGUGUAGAGGUGAAAUUCGUAGAUAUUGGGAAGAACACCGGUGGCGAAGGCGGCAACCUGGCUCGAUACUGACGCUGAGGCGCGAAAGCG
rnacentral:rRNA from 1 species